rnacentral:rRNA from 1 species
UACGUAGGUGGCAAGCGUUAUCCGGAUUUACUGGGUGUAAAGGGCGUGCAGGCGGGAAAGCAAGUCAGAUGUGAAAACCACGGGCUCAACCUGUGGCCUGCAUUUGAAACUGUUUUUCUUGAGUACUGGAGAGGCAGACGGAAUUCCUCGUGUAGCGGUGAAAUGCGUAGAUAUGAGGAGGAACACCAGUGGCGAAGGCGGUCUGCUGGACAGCAACUGACGCUGAGGCGCGAAAGCGUGGGGAGCAAACAGG